rnacentral:pre_miRNA from 7 species
UUCUCGUGUUUCUGGGUGCUCCCAAAUCCCGGAUGAGCCCCCAAGAUGUAAGACCCCCUUUCGGGAACCCGCACUCCAGUCUCAGGAGAGAGAGCGCACCCAAAGAAACACGAGAAUCC